GGGUUGUAAAASUCKGUCUUCAGGGAAGAAAAAAAUGACGGUACCUGAGGAGGAAGCCCCGGCUAACUACGUGCCAGCAGCCGCGGUAAAACGUAGGGGGCGAGCGUUGUCCGGAAUUACUGGGCGUAAAGGGCGCGUAGGCGGUUUCUUAAGUCAGAGGUGAAAACUGUGGGCGCAACCCACAGCCUGCCUUUGAAACUGGGA
rnacentral:rRNA from 1 species